rnacentral:lncRNA from 1 species
UUUUUUUUUACUAUUUUCCCUUAUUUUUAGCUUUAAUUUGUUUUAUUCUCUAUAAAAAGGAUCCUUAUUUUAUUUGUUGGAACCCAAGAGAAGAGUAAUAUACAAUAAUUUGUCUUCAUUGUUAUUAAAUGAGAUUAAGAGAAAUUUCAGUUUAUUAUGAGAUUAAUAGAUAAUGUAAAUGAAGAGGAAAAUCUUUGUGCUUAUAUUGUUGCUCUUGUUCCCGAGGCAAAUAUUGUUUUGCCAUACCAUCAUUUUUUAGUGAUUUAUUCUCUAUAUUUCAGCUUGAACCUGCAUGUUGUUUCAAGUUAAAAAAAAAAUAAUGAUGAGGAAAUUGUAAAGCCUUAUUUUGAGGUAAAUUUUGAUCAAAUUGAUAUUUUAAAAUGAUAUAGGAUAGGCAUAAAAUUCAAUCCUUUGGUUUAUUAAAAAUUGACUAUACAUAUUUUACGAUAAUGAUCAAAAUAUAUCCUUCAAAUUUUUCGUUUGGGUGUCAUGAGUCAUAUACACACAGUGGGAUAAAACAUGAUUCAACAUAUUUAUAGAAAGAAAACUUACUUGUUACAAUAUUGUGUGGAGAUUGACAUGGAGCCACUUCUUGCAAUUGAUUUUACAUUAAAGAUAUCCUAUUCUCGAUUACUAAAGUUAUCAUAUUUAAAAAUUACCUAGGUAGAAAAGUUAUCUAUGGUUAUAAUAUCCUUUUUUAAACAUAGAAUGUCCUCUCCCACCUCUCAAUAUUUUUUGAAUUGACAAAUUCAGAGGUGUAUUUUUGACAAAAACACACAUUCGAAUUGGCUAAUCAAAAUAUAUAAUUUGAAGGCUUUUAAGAAC